GUGCUCGCUUUGGCAGCACAUAUACUAAAAUUGGAGUGAUACAGAGAAGAUUAGCAUGGCCCCUGCACAAGGAUGACACGCAAAUUCGUGAAGUGUUUUAUAUUUUU
ensembl:snRNA U6 U6 spliceosomal RNA